rnacentral:rRNA from 1 species
CAGUAGCCGCGGUAAUACGUAGGGUGCAAGCGUUAAUCGGAAUUACUGGGCGCAAAACGUGCGCAGGCGGUGUUGUAAGACUGAUGUGAAAUCCCCGGGCUCAACCUGGGAACUGCAUUGGUGAUUGCAACGCUGGAGUGCGGCAGAGGGGGAUGGAAUUCCGCGUGUAGCAGUGAAAUGCGUAGAUAUGCGGAGGAACACCGAUGGCGAAGGCAAUCCCCUGGGCCUGCACUGACGCUCAUGCACGAAAGCGUGGGGAGCAAACAGGAUUAGAUACCCCAGUAGUCCCUGUCUCUUAUAC